AUGAACGCUAGCUACAGGCUUAACACAUGCAAGUCGAGGGGCAGCAUGGUCUUAGCUUGCUAAGGCCGAUGGCGACCGGCGCACGGGUGAGUAACACGUAUCCAACCUGCCGUCUACUCUUGGACAGCCUUCUGAAAGGAAGAUUAAUACAAGAUGGCAUCAUGAGUCCGCAUGUUCACAUGAUUAAAGGUAUUCCGGUAGACGAUGGGGAUGCGUUCCAUUAGAUAGUAGGCGGGGUAACGGCCCACCUAGUCUUCGAUGGAUAGGGGUUCUGAGAGGAAGGUCCCCCACAUUGGAACUGAGACACGGUCCAAACUCCUACGGGAGGCAGCAGUGAGGAAUAUUGGUCAAUGGGCGAGAGCCUGAACCAGCCAAGUAGCGUGAAGGAUGACUGCCCUAUGGGUUGUAAACUUCUUUUAUAAAGGAAUAAAGUCGGGUAUGGAUACCCGUUUGCAUGUACUUUAUGAAUAAGGAUCGGCUAACUCCGUGCCAGCAGCCGCGGUAAUACGGAGGAUCCGAGCGUUAUCCGGAUUUAUUGGGUUUAAAGGGAGCGUAGAUGGAUGUUUAAGUCAGUUGUGAAAGUUUGCGGCUCAACCGUAAAAUUGCAGUUGAUACUGGAUAUCUUGAGUGCAGUUGAGGCAGGCGGAAUUCGUGGUGUAGCGGUGAAAUGCUUAGAUAUCACGAAGAACUCCGAUUGCGAAGGCAGCCUGCUAAGCUGCAACUGGCAUUGAGGCUCGAAAGUGUGGGUAUCAAACAGGAUUAGAUACCCUGGUAGUCCACACCGUAAACGAUGAUUACUAGGUGUUGGAGGAUUGACCCCUUCAGUGCCGCAGUUAACACAAUAAGUAAUCCACCUGGGGAGUACGACCGCAAGGUUGAAACUCAAAGGAAUUGACGGGGGCCCGCACAAGCGGAGGAACAUGUGGUUUAAUUCGAUGAUACGCGAGGAACCUUACCCGGGCUUAAAUUGCAGAUGAAUUACGGUGAAAGCCGUAAGCCGCAAGGCAUCUGUGAAGGUGCUGCAUGGUUGUCGUCAGCUCGUGCCGUGAGGUGUCGGCUUAAGUGCCAUAACGAGCGCAACCCUUGUUGUCAGUUACUAACAGGUUCCGCUGAGGACUCUGACAAGACUGCCAUCGUAAGAUGUGAGGAAGGUGGGGAUGACGUCAAAUCAGCACGGCCCUUACGUCCGGGGCUACACACGUGUUACAAUGGGGGGUACAGAGGGCCGCUACCACGCGAGUGGAUGCCAAUCCCCAAAACCUCUCUCAGUUCGGACUGGAGUCUGCAACCCGACUCCACGAAGCUGGAUUCGCUAGUAAUCGCGCAUCAGCCACGGCGCGGUGAAUACGUUCCCGGGCCUUGUACACACCGCCCGUCAAGCCAUGGGAGCCGGGGGUACCUGAAGUGCGUAACCGCGAGGAGCGCCCUAGGGUAAAACUGGUGACUGGGGCU
rnacentral:rRNA from 1 species